rnacentral:rRNA from 1 species
CCUACGGGAGGCAGCAGUGAGGAAUAUUGGUCAAUGGACGAGAGUCUGAACCAGCCAAGUAGCGUGAAGGAUGACUGCCCUAUGGGUUGUAAACUUCUUUUAUAUGGGAAUAAAAUGUUCCACGUGUGGGAUUUUGUAUGUACCAUAUGAAUAAGGCUCGGCUAACUCCGUGCCAGCAGCCGCGGUAAUACGGAGGAGCCGAGCGUUAUCCGGAUUUAUUGGGUUUAAAGGGCGCGUAGGUGGAUUGUUAAGUCAGUUGUGAAAGUUUGCGGCUCAACCGUAAAAUUGCAGUUGAAACUGGCAGUCUUGAGUGCAGUAGGGGUAGGCGGAAUUCGUGGUGUAGCGGUGAAAUGCUUAGAUAUCACGAAGAACUCCGAUUGCGAAGGCAGCUCACUGGACUGCAACUGACACUGAGGCUCGAAAGUGUGGGUAGCAAACAGGAUUAGAUACCCCUGUAGUC